UUGGGGUCAAACUGCAAAAUACAGGAAGUUGUGCGAAUGGAGAUGGAGUGCAGAUGGUCAGACAAUGACAACACUGCACGUGUGCCAGCCUUUGUCCCAUAGACCUGGAUGAACGGUGGGCCCAGCGCUUCUUGACCACCAUAGACAAGCUUUCCUGACCCUCAUCUGGGACUUGAUGCUGUUGGACAGUUAGGAGGUGAGAUCUGAACGAGGACGACUGACAAAGGAGGAGGAAGUCUGGACAGGAGGUUUGAUGGGUCAAAGUGCCCUGAUGUGAUUCAGAUGAACUGACAGUGCUGGACACUGGCAGAGAAACUGAGAAUCACUUCACUUGAAAUGUUUCCUUCUAACUGCAGUCGGUCUCUAAAUGUUCCGAGACAGACCACACACACACAAGAGGAAGACGUCUUGAAGCUGAG
ensembl:lncRNA